CAGGUUACUGUCAUCUGCGCUGCAGAUGAUCUCACAGUGUGCUUCAUGGACCCAAGAGUCUCCCGUGCUUGAAGUUUUGAAGACCAGCAGUGCGUCAGUGGAAUCAGUGAAGACCAUCUACUCACCCAUGGGAUUCCAACUGGUCUCCAUCGCAGGAAGGAGCCGAGAAACCAGCAAGGCCCUCCCUGGGGGCACUUCUGCAACCAAAGACCCAUGAAAAUUUCCGUGCACAACGGCAUCACUGAAUAGUGGAGCAUACCAGGGGAUCGUGCAAGGAAAGGGC
rnacentral:lncRNA from 1 species